rnacentral:rRNA from 1 species
UCGCUACUACCGAUUGAAUGGCUUAGUGAGCUCGAGGGACUGUUGCCGCUUGAGGGGUUUCUCUUGAGCAGCAGCCGGGAACUCGAUCAAACUUGAUCAUUUAGAGGAAGGUG